GACCGGACCCUUCGGGAGGCUUGCACAGGUGCUGCAUGGCUGUCGUCAGCUCGUGUCGUGAGAUGUUCGGUUAAGUCCGCUAACGAGCGCAACCCUCGCUGUGUGUUAUAUGUGUCACACGGGACUGCCGGUCUUAAGCCGGAGGAAGGUGGGGAUGAUGUCAAGUCAGCAUGGCCUUUAUAUCCUGGGCUACACACACGCUACAAUGGCCAACACAAUAGGUUGCUAAGCCGCGAGGUGGCGCCAAUCCAUAAAGUUGGUCUCAGUUCAGAUUGCAGUCUGCAACUCGACUGCAUGAAGCCGGAGUUGCUAGUAACCGCAGGUCAGCAAUACUGCGGUGAAUACGUUCCCGGGUCUU
rnacentral:rRNA from 1 species